GCGGCGCCAUAUCAUUGCUAGCGCAUAACUGGGGCCGCCUGCCCAUUGCGGGCGGUCCUUUUAACUGCUAGCUACAGAG